GGGCGCCGACGUCUCCCACCCUCGGCGUGGAGGGCGGCCAGGAAGCGCGGCGAGGGAAGCCGGCGCCGUAGCACUGGGGAGGCUGAGGCAGGAGAAUCGCAAGGUUUGGGACUGCUGGACAGUGCUCUGCGUCGCCGGUUCGCGACAAGUGGAGCCCAAACAGGGACCUGAAAUUGAAGCGGCGAGCGGUGAGUAAUCAGAAGCCUGCUAUCAAAAAGGGCUCGGCCGAGUCGAAACAAGGAGGACACCGCUGUCUGGAACGCCCGGCGGGGAAAAUCCUCGGAGAAGCAGGUACCAGUGGGGCACAUAGGAUCUAAAAUCAAAUUUAGCACAGCAAUUCAGUCUUUAUUCAGGGAGAAAGGAAUUAAGGCAAAUAAAAAGUCAUUGUUUCAAUUUCUUGAUUAUAUGGAUGAAAUUUGUCCUUGGUUCAGUGAUGUAGAGGAAAUAACUGAAGAUGUUUGGGCUAGAGUAGGAGAAGAAUUAAAUGAAAGAUUAAGGAGUCAUAAUUCUGACAGUGUACCAGCCAUUACAUUUUCUUUCUGGUCUUUAAUAAAUGAGUGCUUACAGAAAAGGGACGUACAAGGCUUAGAUAAACACCUCAGAGAGGCCAAAGAAACCUUAGAGGAGUUAAGAGAAGUUGAAUCACAAAGUUCAGAACCUAAGGAGAGAGAG